CCCUUAGAUGUUCUGGGCCGCACACGCGCUACACUGAAGGAGGCAGCGUGUACUCCUGGAUCGAAAGAUUUGGGUAACCCGCGAAUCUCCUUCGUGCUAGGGAUUGAGGUUUGCAAUUAUCCUUCAUGAACGAGGAAUUCCCAGUAAGUGCAAGUCAUAAGCUUGCGCUGACUACGUCCCUGCCCUUUGUACACACCGCCCGUCGCUCCUACCGAUUGAAUGUUCCGGUGAACACUUUGGAGCUUGCGUUCUUGAGGAAACUCGUGCAGCGAUGUAGUGAAGCUGUGUAAACCUUAACAUUUAGAGGAAGGAGAAGUCGUANCA
rnacentral:rRNA from 1 species